rnacentral:lncRNA from 1 species
GUUCCUGUUCAUUGAUCCAUCAUAAGUGGGCCCGGUGACUGAGCACGCCCCACAACUAGACACCACAACUCACUCGGGCGCACGUGGACGUGCACACGGCAGGCCGAACCGCAGGGCACCGUGACCCUCCCUCACCGGCCCUUGGAGCCGUGGACAGAGAGAGAAAAAGAGCCGGCCUUUCCAGAAGGUGAAAAGCCCACCCCCGCGUUUACUCAUCUAGUGGACGGCGUGUUUAUACUGCGGGAACGCAAACAUCAAGGAAUGUAGGAGCAUGAACUACCUUGGAGCAUCAAAAGUGAUGAGAAUCACUGGUGAUGAAGAUCACUGAUGAAGAAUAUCAUUGAGGAUGAGCAUCACUGACUAUGAGCAUCACUGAGGACGAGUGUCACUGAGGUGAGCAUCACUGAGGUGAGCAUCACUGAGGACAAGUGUCACUGAGGUGAGCAUCACUGACUAUGAGCAUCACUGAGGACAAGCGUCACUGAGGUGUGUGUCACUGAGGUGAGGGUCACUGAGGUGAGGGUCACUGAGGUGAGCAUCACUGACUAUGAGCAUCACUGAGGACAAGCGUCACUG